rnacentral:rRNA from 1 species
GGUCUGGCUGGCGGGUCCGCCUCACCGCGUGCACUUGUCCGGCCGGGCCUUUCCUUCUGGAGAACCUCAUGCCCUUCACUGGGCGUGUUGGGGAACCAGGACUUUUACUUUGAAAAAAUUAGAGUGUUCAAAGCAGUCGUUUUACGACCGAAUAGCUUAGCAUGGAAUAAUGGAAUAGGA